UACGUAGGGUGCAAGCGUUGUUCGGAAUUACUGGGCGUAAAGCGAGUGUAGGCGGUCUGAAAAGUCGGGUGUGAAAGCCCCGGGCUCAACCCGGGAAGUGCACUCGAAACUGCCAGGCUAGAGUAUCGGAGAGGUUGGUGGAAUUCUCGGUGUAGAGGUGAAAUUCGUAGAUAUCGAGAGGAACACCGGUGGCAAAGGCGGCCAACUGGACGAAUACUGACGCUGAGACUCGAAAGCGUGGGGAGCAAACAGG
rnacentral:rRNA from 1 species